rnacentral:rRNA from 1 species
GGGAAAGMUUYWKCGGUAUGGGAUGGGGUCGCGUCCUAUCAGCUUGAUGGCGGGGUAACGGCCCACCAUGGCUUCGACGGGUAGCCGGCCUGAGAGGGCGACCGGCCACAUUGGGACUGAGAUACGGCCCAGACUCCUACGGGAGGCAGCAGUGGGGAAUAUUGCACAAUGGGCGCAAGCCUGAUGCAGCGACGCCGCGUGCGGGAUGACGGCCUUCGGGUUGUAAACCGCUUUUGACUGGGAGCAAGCCCUUCGGGGUGAGUGUACCUUUCGAAUAAGCACCGGCUAACUACGUGCCAGCAGCCGCGGUAAUACGUAGGGUGCAAGCGUUAUCCGGAAUUAUUGGGCGUAAAGGGCUCGUAGGCGGUUCGUCGCGUCCGGUGUGAAAGUCCAUCGCUUAACGGUGGAUCCGCGCCGGGUACGG